rnacentral:tRNA from 1 species
GCCCCUAUCGUCUAGUGGUUAGGACACAGGGUUUUCAUCCCUGCAACGGGGGUUCGAUUCCCCCUAGGGGUA